AGACGACGAAGAGGAAGCCGGCUUCAGCAGCGGCCAGAGAUAGCUCGAGUAGAAGCGGCGGAAUCCGCUGAGGGCCGAGACGACCAGCACACGCUCGCUAUCUCUCUCUCUCUCUCUCUCGGUCCCAACGAUCACCGAUCUCUCUCUCUCACUACUUAUCUCCGGCGAUCUCAAUAUCGGCGCUGCUGCCCUAGAUGUGCAUCUUUAUUUUUGUGGGAACUAAUGCUGAGACCUAUUUCAAUACAGCAACACUAGUCUCUUCCGUGCAAAACUUCCCAUAGUCUCAACAUUUAAUGAUCAGUCUGCUACUAGUUUCCGAAGCGUCUACCAAAGAUCCCAAUCACGAUGAGUCCAAAGAUCGAGUUGCCUAGUUCCUUUGGACUUUGUUAAGAGACUCGCCUCUAGCUACAUGCAUGCACAAUCUGCAGAGCAAUAAAAUGGCCAUCAACUUGCAAAUUUCAGAACCUUGGUUACGUGAAUAUCAGGUUCUUCCAUCAAGAACACAUCCACAUAUGCAGAUGAGCUCAUCAGGAGGCUAUCUGUUGAGCGGCACUCGAAUAAGCGGCGCUGAUCAAAAUUAAUUGGACUUAACAAAGUCCAAAGAUCCCAAUCACGAUGUUGGAGGAAAACGACUAGGAUUAAAUUGGUGUGAAGUUCAAGUUUCAGUUCCUAUAAAAUGGGAAGAAGAUUUGAUUAGGCCAUAUUCAAACUUGUCCACAAUUGGAGAUGCAAUUGGAGCAUGCAUUGCAUGGCCUCGACACUUGGUGACCGACGACGAUGAUGAUUGAAGAAGAUUGAUCGUGCUGGCUGCUGUUCUCUUUUUUUGCUGUCUCUUUUUUGGUCUUUGCCACGACAAAAUGAAUGAAAGAAACUUAGUUAUGGUUAUUUCCUCAAAAAUCUUGUGAGUUUUAUUAAGUAUUAACAUGGUUAUAGCUUUGGUGACAUACAAGAGUGGUGGAACAGAUGUAUUUCAUAAGAUCUUAAAGUUUGUUGUUUUGCAACGAGUUCAGUUGGAAAAUAUAAAUGAAUUUAGCAAUAUUUCUAUGGUUACAAUUAAUCUUUCU